rnacentral:rRNA from 1 species
CGGUCUGUCAAGUCGGAUGUGAAAUCCCCGGGCUCAACCUGGGAACUGCAUUCGAAACUGGCAGGCUUGAGUCUUGUAGAGGGGGGUAGAAUUCCAGGUGUAGCGGUGAAAUGCGUAGAGAUCUGGAGGAAUACCGGUGGCGAAGGCGGCCCCCUGGACAAAGACUGACGCUCAGGUGCGAAAGCGUGGGGAGCAAACAGGAUUAGAUACCCUGGUAGUCCACGCCGUAAACGAUGUCUACUUGGAGGUUGUGCCCUUGAGGCGUGGCUUCCGGAGCUAACGCGUUAAGUAGACCGCCUGGGGAGUACGGCCGCAAGGUUAAAACUCAAAUGAAUUGACGGGGGCCCGCACAAGCGGUGGAGCAUGUGGUUUAAUUCGAUGCAACGCGAAGAACCUUACCUGGUCUUGACAUCCACGGAAGUUUUCAGAGAUGAGAAUGUGCCUUCGGGAACCGUGAGACAGGUGCUGCAUGGCUGUCGUCAGCUCGUGUUGUGAAAUGUUGGGUUAAGUCCCGCAACGAGCGCAACCCUUAUCCUUUGUUGCCAGCGGUUAGGCCGGGAACUCAAAGGAG